CCUACGGGGGGCAGCAGUGAGGAAUAUUGGUCAAUGGACGAGAGUCUGAACCAGCCAAGUAGCGUGAAGGAUGACUGCUCUAUGGGUUGUAAACUUCUUUUAUAUGGGAAUAAAAUGUUCCACGUGUGGGAUUUUGUAUGUACCAUAUGAAUAAGGAUCGGCUAAAUCCGGGUCAGCAGCCGCGGUAAGACGGAGGGUCCGAGCGUUAUCCGGAUUUAUUGGGUUUAAAGGGAGCGUAGGUGGAUUGGUAAGUCAGUUGGGAAAGUUUGCGGCUCAACCGUAAAAAUGCAGUUGAAACUGGCAGUCUUGAGUGCAGUAGAGGUGGGCGGAAUUCGUGGUGUAGCGGUGAAAUGCGUAGAUAUCACGAAGAACUCCGAUUGCGAAGGCAGCUCACUGGACUGCAACUGACGCUGAGGCUCGAAAGUGUGGGGAUCAAACAGGAUUAGAUACCCGAGUAGUC
rnacentral:rRNA from 1 species